GGGGAGGUGCCAGAGUGGUCGAAUGGGGCCGCCUGCUAAGCGGUUGUCGGGGCUAUAAACCUCGACCGCGGGUUCGAAUCCCGCCCUCCCCGCCA
rnacentral:tRNA from 2 species